ensembl:misc_RNA Y_RNA Y RNA
GACUGGUCCAAUGGUAGUGGGUUAUCAGAACUUAUUAACAUUAGUGUCCCUAAAAUUACUAUACAACCCCCCAUUGCUAUAUUUGACUAUCUUUU